rnacentral:rRNA from 1 species
ACGAACGCUGGCGGCAGGCCUAACACAUGCAAGUCGAGCGCCCCGCAAGGGGAGCGGCGGACGGGUGAGUAACGCGUGGGAACGUACCCUUUGCUACGGAAUAGCCUCGGGAAACUGGGAGUAAUACCGUAUGUGUCCUUCGGGAGAAAGAUUUAUCGGCAAGGGAUCGGCCCGCGUUGGAUUAGGUAGUUGGUGGGGUAAUGGCCUACCAAGCCGACGAUCCAUAGCUGGUUUGAGAGGAUGAUCAGCCACACUGGGACUGAGACACGGCCCAGACUCCUACGGGAGGCAGCAGUGGGGAAUCUUAGACAAUGGGCGCAAGCCUGAUCUAGCCAUGCCGCGUGAGCGAUGAAGGCCUUAGGGUUGUAAAGCUCUUUCAGGGGGGAAGAUAAUGACUGUACCCCCAGAAGAAGCCCCGGCUAACUCCGUG